ACCAGUGUGGUGUAGUGGUUUGAGCACUGGACUCUGACUCUGGAGAUCAGGGUUGAAUUCCCUGUUUGGCC